GAGGAGUUAGUUAAUUAAUAACAUUAGAUUGUCAAACUAAAAUUAUCAAAAGAUACCCCUUU
rnacentral:tRNA from 1 species